CCUACGGGAGGCAGCAGUGGGGAAUCUUAGACAAUGGGCGCAAGCCUGAUCUAGCCAUGCCGCGUGAGCGAUGAAGGCCUUAGGGUUGUAAAGCUCUUUCAGUGGGGAAGAUAAUGACUGUACCCACAGAAGAAGCCCCGGCUAACUCCGUGCCAGCAGCCGCGGUAAUACGGAGGGGGCUAGCGUUGUUCGGAAUUACUGGGCGUAAAGCGCACGUAGGCGGACUGGAAAGUCAGAGGUGAAAUCCCAGGGCUCAACCUUGGAACUGCCUUUGAAACUCCCGGUCUUGAGGUCGAGAGAGGUGAGUGGAAUUCCGAGUGUAGAGGUGAAAUUCGUAGAUAUUCGGAGGAACACCAGUGGCGAAGGCGGCUCACUGGCUCGAUACUGACGCUGAGGUGCGAAAGCGUGGGGAGCAAACAGGAUUAGAUACCCGUGGUAGUCCACGCCGUAAACGAUGAAUGCCAGACGUCGGCAAGCAUGCUUGUCGGUGUCACACCUAACGGAUUAAGCAUUCCGCCUGGGGAGUACGGCCGCAAGGUUAAAACUCAAAUGAAUUGACGG
rnacentral:rRNA from 1 species